GACGAACGCUGGCGGUAUGCUUAACACAUGCAAGUCGAACGAGAAGUCUUUUAUUGAACCUUCGGGGGAUAUAAGAGACAGACAGUGGCGAACGGGUGAGUAACGCGUGGGCAACCUACCUAUCGGAGCGGGAUAGCCUCGAGAAAUCGGGAGUAAAACCGCAUAACACGGAUAUAUCGCAUGAUGAAUCCGUCAAAACUCCGGUGCCGAUAGAUGGGCCCGCGUCUGAUUAGCUAGUUGGUAAGGUAAGGGCUUACCAAGGCAACGAUCAGUAGCCGGUCUGAGAGGGCGAACGGCCACACUGGAACUGAGACACGGUCCAGACUCCUACGGGAGGCAGCAGUGGGGAAUAUUGCGCAAUGGGGGCAACCCUGACGCAGCAAUACCGCGUGAGUGAAGAAGGUUUUCGGAUCGUAAAGCUCUGUUAUUGGGGAAGAAGCAGUGACGGUACCCAAUGAGGAAGUCCCGGCUAACUACGUGCCAGCAGCCGCGGUAAUACGUAGGGGACGAGCGUUGUCCGGAAUCACUGGGCGUAAAGGGCGCGUAGGCGGUUUUAUAAGUCAGAUGUGAAAGGUACCGGCUCAACCGGUGACGUGCAUUUGAAACUGUAAGACUUGAGUACUGAAGAGGCAAGCGGAAUUCCUAGUGUAGCGGUGAAAUGCGUAGAUAUUAGGAAGAACACCGGUGGCGAAGGCGGCUUGCUGGGCAGAUACUGACGCUGAGGUGCGAAAGCGUGGGGAGCGAACAGG
rnacentral:rRNA from 1 species